rnacentral:rRNA from 1 species
GGGUUGUGAGGUUAAGCGACUAAGCGUACACGGUGGAUGCCCUGGCAGUCAGAGGCGAUGAAGGGCGUGCUAAUCUGCGAUAAGCGCCGGUAAGGUGAUAUGAACCGUUAUAACCGGCGAUACCCGAAUGGGGAAACCCAGUGUGACUUGUCACACUAUCAUUAACUGAAUCCAUAGGUUAAUGAGGCGAACCGGGGGAACUGAAACAUCUAAGUACCCCGAGGAAAAGAAAUCAACCGAGAUUCCCCCAGUAGCGGCGAGCGAACGGGGAGGAGCCCAGAGCCUGAAUCAGCAUGUGUGUUAGUGGAAGCGUCUGGAAAGACGCGCGAUACAGGGUGACAGCCCCGUACACAAAAGCGCAUGUGCUGUGAGCUCGAUGAGUAGGGCGGGACACGUGGUAUCCUGUCUGAAUAUGGGGGGACCAUCCUCCAAGGCUAAAUACUCCUGACUGACCGAUAGUGAACCAGUACCGUGAGGGAAAGGCGAAAAGAACCCCGGCGAGGGGAGUGAAAAAGAACCUGAAACCGUGUACGUACAAGCAGUGGGAGCACAGGUUUACCUGUGUGACUGCGUACCUUUUGUAUAAUGGGUCAGCGACUUAUAUUCUGUAGCAAGGUUAACCG